rnacentral:rRNA from 1 species
CCUACGGGUGGCAGCAGUGGGGAAUAUUGGGCAAUGGAGGCAACUCUGACCCAGCAACGCCGCGUGAAUGAUGAAGGUCUUCGGAUCGUAAAGUUCUGUGAUGGGGGAUGAACACAAUGACGGUACCCCAAUAGCAAGUCACGGCUAACUACGUGCCAGCAGCCGCGGAAAUACGUAGGAGGCAAGCGUUAUCCGGAAUGACUGGGCGUAAAGGGCGCGUAGGUGGUUUAGUAAGUUGGCGGUGUAAGUCCUGGGCUCAACCUGUGUGCUACUGCGAAAACUAGUAGACUAGAGUGCAGGAGGGGAGAGUGGAAGUCCUAGUGUAGCGGUGGAAUGCGUAGAUAUAAGGAGGAACAUCAGGGGCGAAGGCGACUUACUGGACUGUAACUGACACUGAGGUACGAAAGCGUGGGGAGCAAACAGGAUUAGAUACCCCAGUAGUC